GACGGAGGGGGCUAGCGUUGUUCGGAAUUACUGGGCGUAAAGCGCGCGUAGGCGGCGCAUUAAGUCAGAGGUGAAAGCCCGGGGCUCAACCCCGGAAUUGCCUUUGAGACUGGUGUGCUUGAGUACGGAAGAGGUGAGUGGAAUUCCCAGUGUAGAGGUGAAAUUCGUAGAUAUUGGGAAGAACACCAGUGGCGAAGGCGGCUCACUGGUCCGUAACUGACGCUGAGGUGCGAAAGCGUGGGGAGCAAACAGG
rnacentral:rRNA from 1 species